AUUGAACGCUGGCGGCAUGCUUUACACAUGCAAGUCGAACGGUAACAGGCCGCAAGGUGCUGACGAGUGGCGAACGAGUGAGUAAUGCAUCGGAACGUGCCCAGUCGUGGGGGAUAACGCAGCGAAAGCUGUGCUAAUACCGCAUACGAUCUAUGGAUGAAAGCGGGGGACCGUAAGGCCUCGCGCGAUUGGAGCGGCCGAUGUCAGAUUAGGUAGUUGGUGGGGUAAAGGCCUACCAAGCCGACGAUCUGGAGCUGGUCUGAGAGGACGACCAGCCACACUGGGACUGAGACACGGCCCAGACUCCUACGGGAGGCAGCAGUGGGGAAUUUUGGACAAUGGGCGCAAGCCUGAUCCAGCAAUGCCGCGUGCAGGAAGAAGGCCUUCGGGUUGUAAACUGCUUUUGUACGGAACGAAACGGCCUGGGUUAAUACCCUGGGCUAAUGACGGUACCGUAAGAAUAAGCACCGGCUAACUACGUGCCAGCCGCCGCAGUAACAC
rnacentral:rRNA from 1 species